CUGCCAGUCGCUAAAUUUUCUUCUUUCGCCCUUGCCGUGAGCCUCUACGCGCCCACUUCUGGCCGUGCACCCGCUCUUAAAGCGACUGGGGACGAGUCUGGCCCUGUAUGGCGUUACUUUACAUGUGGAUAUGAUGAAAUGCGCUUUACAUCAAGUAUUACGCUUACCUAAUUACAUACUGAGCCUAUAUUAUUUUAGCUUUACAACAAUUGUGAUAUUACUUUCUUAACGGCUAUUACUUAUAACAAGGAAUGGGGAAUCGGGGAAAGGAAUCGGGGAACGGGGAAUGGGGAAUGGGGAAUGCUAAAACCCGGAAUACUAAAAUGGGGAAUCUCUAAAACCCGGAAUACUAAAAUGGGGAAUCUCUAAAACCCGGAAUACUAAAAUGGGGAAUCUCCAAAACCCGGAAUACUAAAAUGGGGAAUCUCUAAAACCCGGAAUACUAAAAGCCGGAAUCUCUAAAACCCGGAAUACUAAAAU